rnacentral:rRNA from 1 species
UACGUAGGUCCCGAGCGUUAUCCGGAUUUAUUGGGCGUAAAGCGAGCGCGGGCGGUUGGAUAAGUCUGAAGUUAAAGGCUGUGGCUCAACCAUAGUAUGCUUUGGAAACUGUUCAACUUGAGUGCAGAAGGGGAGAGUGGAAUUCCAUGUGUAGCGGUGGAAUGCGUAGAUAUAUGGAGGAACACCGGUGGCGAAAGCGGCUCUCUGGUCUGUAACUGACGCUGAGGCUCGAAAGCGUGGGUAGCGAACAGG